UUAUAAGAGAUUAAAACAACUAGUAAUUGAUUUUGUGUGUUCUUUAUAAUAUUUUGUUAUUUAUUAUAUAUAAUAAGACCCAAACUUCAAGACACGAUUUUCCCAAUUUAAGGAUUUCACGACUCAAUUUUUCCCAAUUUUGAGGUUUUCACGACUCAAUUUUUCCCAAUUGGACCGGUACGGGUACUUUUCCCAAUUUGACAAGGAAAAUCGCUGGUGGAGUGUACCAGUUCAUGGAGGACAACAUUGAGUAAGAAAGGCACCAAUACUUGCUGGAGGAUUCGGUCUACCCCUGUAAACCCUGGCUCUUCACCCCAUUUUUACGGCCUGAUUGUGAACAUCAACUUAACUUCAAUAUUAUAAAUUUAUUAAUAACAGGAUUACAAGCUUGAGGGCCUGGGCACAGUCCUCUCAGUUGCCGCCUACAGCCAAGAAAACUGGGCAGCAGUAGAGCGUAUUUUCGAGUCUCACUCGCAAGAGUCAUUUGCUCUCAACUUAUUCAGACAGCUGCAGGGUGUCCAAGACAAAUCAAGGACACCCUACUUAAUCAAGGCAGUUGGGACAUCUGGAUUAAAAGUUGCCACAGAAAUUGCAAAAGAUAAAAGAAAGUGACUUAUCAACCCUUCAAGGACGUGCACGUUAUUGAACCCACGUUGAGAAAUUGUCCAACAACGACGAUAAUGCAUGGACAGUAACAAUAACUGUGGAAAAGAAAUGGAAUUGAAGUGCCAUUGCAGCCACAAGUUCUACAAAAGUUCACUGACAAAAUUAUUUAAACAGUGCAAAAAAAUGUCUAUGAUUAUGAAGAAUAAAUAGAUAGAUGAAAUUUGUUGGAUUCGGUGGAUUAUCAAUUUUAAGUCACAAGUGAUCAUGUGGGUGAUCCACUCGUGAAAAUACAUUCUUUCUAUGAUCACGAGUGAAUUAAAAAUGAUUUUCCACAGAAUAAAACAAAUUUUAUUUUCAUUUCAUUUUUUUUUUCAACGUUUAUUGAAAUCGUAAACUAGUUUUGCUAAAGAAUUUCGCUGGAAUAAUGACUGUUAUUUUUCACUGUUUGAAACAACGAAUUAUCAGUUUUAAUUCACUGAUAUUUAUGCCCCACUUCGAAGAAGAGGGGGUAUAUUGUUUUGCACAUGUUGGUCGGUCCGUCUGUCCAUCUGUAGGACCUUCCACUAAAUGGUUUCCGGAUGAUAACUCAAGAACACUUAUGGCCUAGGAUCAUGAAACUUCAUAUGCACAUUGAUCAUGACAGGUAGAUGACCCGUAUUGAUUUUGAGGUCAAAGGUCACGGUCUAGACAAUGUUGGGGGUGGGGGAAUAUGUCUCUGACCGCGGAACACUUGUUCUCUAUAAACUUCCCAAAAGCAUUAAAUAAAUAAUAUCAUAUUGGACUGACACACAUGUAGUGCAAGGCUUCCUAUGAAUUUGUUAACAAGUUGUGGCUGAAACUGCACUUCCAUAUGCAUGUGUAAAUUAAGAAACUCCAAAAAACAUGAUCAGGAUAGAAAUCCUUAGCAUAAACCAGCAUUAUUGAGUGCAUACUAGGCAGUGGAAAAUUCUCAUAUAAACUAAUCUGGUGAUAAUUGUUUAUGACAUAUGGGACAUAAUUGUAACACUCUCGUGUAGAGCUAAAAUAGUAGAAUGGGAUUUCCGCAUAAACAUGUGUUUGUUAUGUCCAGUCGUCGAAAUUCGCGCUAGUCCGACAGCAAAAAACUAGUAUUAUUCCUUUCAGGCUUGUAGAAAAUCCAAUAUUACAAGCCCGACGUACUUGUAAAAUUUAAAAAACAGAUAACGAGUUCCACUUUCAAUUUCAAUAUUUGUAAACAAAGUUUUGAGCCGCUUAUAUCAACUGCCGCUCAUUUCUUUAACACCUUGCGCACAAGUGCUGCGCAAUCAGCCGAUAAUUGGAUUACUGCGCAUAAAGAGCAUGGUUUUGUGUUCCCUGAUUACUAUCAUGGCGUUCGGGACACAGAGAGUAAUAAAGAAGAAAGCCAGGGGGGGGGGA